UAUUUUUUCAGCUCAAUUCAAUUCAACUCUCAUCUACCUAUAGAAUUAUUAGGACUGUUAUUUACAAAUAAAAAUACAGAAAUAAUUCUGUCUCUCUAUUUUUCCUGCAGCAGGUAUCUCUCUCCUCUCCCUCGUCGUUCUUCUCUCUCUCGUUCCCUGACUUCUCUCUCUCUGGAAUCUAGUUGCGGUGAAGGCGGAGGAGGAGAUGAGAGGUCCGAUUGUGGUGGUGAAACGAGGUGAAAAGGAUGGCGAUGGAGUAUAGAGUUGUUGUAGGAGACGGCGACAGUAGUGGUGAACGUGCUCGCUAGUGGUAGUAGUGGUCUGAUAUGAAGGUGUCAGAGAAGGAGGAGGAGACGAACGUGAUGUAGGAGGCGGUGGCCGGUGAGAGUUCAGGCGGCGGAGGUGGUGAUGACAAUGGUUGUGGUGGGUGAGGUGGAUCUGAGAAGAUGCUUGAGGUAGAAAGAGGGAGGCCGUGAUGGAGUUGAAGUAGGCGUCGAGGAGGGAGGAGGCAUCUGCAGAUCUGAGUUGGACGACGGUGGCUGGACGGAUAGUGGCCGAAGGAUGGUGAGAAAGUCGACCAAAAGAGGGAAAGAAAACAUAAAUUAAAAUUAAAAUUUGUGAAUAAAUACUGUAUAAAUAUACUGUAAACAGUGUUUGAUGUCUAAUUUGUGUUUGUAUUUUGAUGUCAAGUUAUCGUUGCUCAUAAAAAUACAAUAUAACUUUUUCUUUUUAUAUCUUGG
rnacentral:lncRNA from 1 species